rnacentral:rRNA from 1 species
UACGGGGGAGCUAGCGUUGUUCGGAAUUACUGGGCGUAAAGCGCACGUAGGCGGCUUUGCAAGUUAGAGGUGAAAGCCUGGGGCUCAACUCCAGAACUGCCUUUAAAACUGCAUCGCUUGAAUCCAGGAGAGGUGAGUGGAAUUCCGAGUGUAGAGGUGAAAUUCGUAGAUAUUCGGAAGAACACCAGUGGCGAAGGCGGCUCACUGGAGCUGGUAUUGACGCUGAGGUGCGAAAGCGUGGGGAGCAAACAGG